rnacentral:rRNA from 1 species
UACAGAGGUCUCAAGCGUUGUUCGGAUUCAUUGGGCGUAAAGGGUGCGUAGGUGGCGUCGUAAGUCAGGUGUGAAAUCUCGGGGCUCAACCCCGAAACUGCACUUGAUACUGCGAUGCUCGAGUACUGGAGAGGAGAUUGGAAUUUACGGUGUAGCAGUGAAAUGCGUAGAUAUCGUAAGGAAGACCAGUGGCGAAGGCGAAUCUCUGGACAGUUACUGACACUGAGCACGAAGGCCAGGGGAGCAAAACGGG